rnacentral:lncRNA from 1 species
AAGUGCUAUAAAAUGUACCAGUUAGUUCUCGAAUCCCAUCACUUUAAAAGAAUUCUAAUCAGUUCUGCCAGUAAUCAGCUCUCUUAUGGUCUACUCUUAGGUGAAGCUGAAGCUAACAAAGACCGCCAACAGCCAGGAACCUAAAAAUUCAGUGAAACUCUGCUUCAGCUUGCUGAAAGAAGAAAUCCUCCUUUAUCCCCAGGUUAUUGUCAUCCGUUGCUAGCAUUUGGAUUCUCAAGACGAGUAUGUCAUGAGAAAUCACCAUGUGAAGACAACCAGUUUUCUCACCUUACUCAUUUCCUCUCAUCACUUCUUGCCUGCUGAUGGUGAGUGAUGUCAGAAAACAUGCAGGGCAAAGGAAUAUGAAGAAAGAGGUCAACAAGAUGACUACUGAGCAGAUUAAAGUCCUGGCUGAUAAGUUGAGGAUGAUCCCUGGCUUCACAAGGAAUAACUUCAGGAGUUGCAGAGUAAAGCUGAUGGAAAAGGGCCUCUUCAUGGACUAUUCUAGAACAAACCAGGAAAAGGGAACACAGGAAAGAAUGAACGACAAAAAGUUGUCAAACAGUGAAUAUCUGGGCAACAUGAAGAGAAGAGGACCAAGUCUAGUUCCCAGAACAAAUGCCUUCUCUUUGGGCUGAAACAUGAGUUGUGAAUUAAAGGAGAUAAGGUCCUGUGAAUGUAUCUGUAGAAGAAAGAGUUUCUCAUACAACAUGAAAUAAGAAUCAGAAAGAGUUGGGGUUUCCUCACUGAAGUCAGCUGCCUGCAUGCUGUGUCCAUGAGGACUCCAUUCACUCAAGUGGAGAAGGCCAAGACACUCACAAAUACAGUUGUGCUAAAGAUCAAAGAGACAUGGAGGAUCUACCAGACUCUGCUCUCUUGUGCUUUCAUUUCCUGUAGGCUGUGAGCUUCUGAUUGUAGCAAUUGCCAGAGUCUUUGAUUGGAGAUGAUUUGUUUCCUUCCUGUCACUGAAAAUGCUGAAAGCCAGCCACCUUUCUGCCACCGGUACUUUAUAGCUUAUUUGUAGCUAAUCUACUUAGUGUUGGCAGAAGGAAUGCUUUGUUUUGCAGAUUCUAUUUUUAAGUUUCUUACUGGAGUUUCAUUUUAAACACCUUGCUAAGUUUGCCUUAUAUAAGGAAGCAAAUUGAUUGGAUCACUGUAAUUAGAAUCAACUUUUAACUAGCUACAGUUGUCAAUU